AUGUCGCCGGCGGCGGACAGCGCAUCGGGAUCGAAGCGGCAGGCGGAGCUGCUCAAGCAGGAGGGCAACACCUGCUUCAAGAAGGACCGCAUCAGCGCCGCCAUCGACGCCUACACCGGGGCUAUAGCUCUCUGCCAAAAUGUUGCAGUAUACUGGACCAACCGAGCACUGUGCUAUAAGAAGCGGAAUGAGUGGGCUAAGGUUGAGGAAGAUUGUAGAAUGGCUAUCCAUUAUGACAGCCACUCCGUUAAGGCGCAUUACAUGCUUGGGCUUGCACUUCUCAACAGGCAGGAAUUGGCUGGAGGAAUAAAAGCACUAGAAAAGUCUUUGGAGCUUGGAAGGGGUGCACAUCCUGCAAGCUAUAUGGUUGAAGAGAUAUGGCAAGAGCUUUCUAAAGCAAAAUACAUUGAAUGGGAAGGCCUAUCAAAAAUGCGAUCCUCUCAAUUGCAUAAACUGAAUGCAACAUGUAAAGAAGCUCUAAAGAGCUAUAAUAGCCUUGAUAAUCCAACUGGAGACAUGUCUGAAGAGCAUCUAAAUGAGCUAGACGAAGUUUUCAGGAAAGCUGCAAAGGCCGAUACUCCAACAGAAGUUCCUGACCAUCUCUGCUGCAAGAUUACACUUGAUAUCUUCAGGGAUCCAGUGAUCACUCCAAGCGGAAUUACUUAUGAGAGGGCUGUGAUUCUUGACCAUUUAAACAGGGUUGGGAAAUUUGACCCUGUGACCCGUGAACCACUGGAACCAUUCCAACUAAUAUCAAACCUCGCCGUCAAGGAGGCUGUAGAUGUAUUUUUGAAGGAACAUGGUUGGGCUUACAAGAUCAGGUGA
rnacentral:rRNA from 1 species